rnacentral:lncRNA from 1 species
CAAGGAUAGUUGUUAAACGUAUCAAGAUCCUCGAAAAGCUUUAUUAAAGUGAGGCUUAUGUUGUUGUUAACGUCUCUCGCCCAAAGAAUAUUAUGUACAAACCAAACCAAGCACAAUGACUGCUUGUGCUUCUUUGAAAAUCAUUUACCUUUCAACGCUUCUAUCUAAUUUUUGUUUUUGAAUCUUGAACCAACAAUGGACACCAGGUCAUCACAAUCACACGACUUGCUUUUGCCUUUUUGGGGUGUGCGGGGUGUUUUUUUUUUUGUUAGAAUAGGUAUAACUUGAGAAGAAGGAUAACAUUUUAGUCCAGUAACUAUGGCAAACUCCUUCCAACCAAAACAAACAGGCAUGCCACAGUAAUUUAUCCAUGCCGCAUCCAUCUUAUCUUUGUUUUCAUACAUAAACCUACACUUGAGAAGUUCAUACAUCAUUUUCAUUUGGAAACGAGCAUUGUUGUCCUCCGGCAAAUCAAGAUAUUUGCCAAAGCAGUUGUCCCUGAAAUAUGCAUCUAAUUUUUGUUCUCAAAGUAUUUUUCUGAAGGCAUCAAAAGAUCUUCUCAUGGCUGACUUAACCACGAAAUCACCCGUUAAAUCUGCAGCACCAUCACACUGCAUUCUCACAGGAUAACGAUCAAUGCUAAAGGUUUUGACAAGCUCUUCGGUGGAAGGGCUAUUAGCAUCUGCAUCAUCUCUUUUGAAACAUCCCUCUUCCCCGUGUUCAUCAUAUUCUGCUCCCGAUUGAGAUAACGCUUGUAAAGCAAGCUCAUCGAGUGGUGGAUAUAGCCUAGCUUCUUCACUUGUUCCUUUACUUGAACUUGAUUAGGUUUCUGUUCUUUUAGGAACCAUAUUAUCUAAAAUUAGCAGGAACGUAAAAUAAUAUAUUAUUGUUGAUUAAUGCAUCGUUAAAAAGGGAUAACAGCAAAUCAAACAAGCAAAACAAUAAAAUAACAGUUGCAACAGAUCAUCGAUCUGUUGCACCAGGUAGUAUAUCUAUUGCAGCAUAUAACCAAACU